ACGAACGCUGGCGGCAGGCUUAACACAUGCAAGUCGAGCGCCCCGCACGGGGAGCGGCCGACGGGUGAGUAACGCGUGGGAACGUACCUUUUGGUUCGGAACAACUCCGGGAAACUGGAGCUAAUACCGGAUAAGCCCUAACGGGGAAAGAUUUAUCGCCGAAAGAUCGGCCCGCGUCUGAUUAGCUAGUUGGUGAGGUAACGGCUCACCAAGGCGACGAUCAAUAGCUGGUCUGAGAGGAUGAUCAGCCACACUGGGACUGAGACACGGCCCAGACUCCUACGGGAGGCAGCAGUGGGGAAUAUUGGACAAUGGGCGCAAGCCUGAUCCAGCCAUGCCGCGUGAGUGAUGAAGGCCUUAGGGUUGUAAAGCUCUUUUGUCCGGGAAGAUAAUGACUGUACCGGAAGAAUAAGCCCCGGCUAACUUCGUG
rnacentral:rRNA from 1 species